rnacentral:rRNA from 1 species
GAUGAACGCUGGCGGCGUGCUUAACACAUGCAAGUCGAGCGAUUUUCUUCGGAAGAGAGCGGCGGACGGGUGAGUAACGCGUGGGUAACCUGCAUCAUACACAUGGAUAACAUACCGAAAGGUAUGCUAAUCCAAGAUGAUAUAAGAGAUUCGCAUGGAUUUCUUAUCAAAGCUCCGGCGGUAUGAGAUGGACCAGCGUCUGAUUAGCGAGUUGGUAAGGUAACGGAUUACCAAGGCGACGAUCAGUAGCCGACCUGAGAGGGUGAUCGGCCACAUUGGAACUGAGACACGGUCCAAACUCCUACGGGAGGCAGCAGUGGGGAAUAUUGCACAAUGGGCGAAAGCCUGAUGCAGCAACGCCGCGUGAGCGAUGAAGGCCUUCGGGUCGUAAAGCUCUGUCCUCAAGGAAGAUAAUGACGGUACUUGAGGAGGAAGCCCCGGCUAACUACGUGCCAGCAGCCGCCGUAA